GAUGAACGCUGGCGGCGUGCCUAAUACAUGCAAGUCGAACGAUGAAGCGAGGAGCUUGCUCUUCUUAGGUGAGUUGCGGACGGGUGAGUAACGCGUAGGUAACCUGCCUUGUAGCGUGGGAUAACUAUUGGAAACGGUAGCUAAUACCGCAUAACAUUGGAUACCACAUGUCUCUUUUUUGAAAGGGGCAAUUGCUCUACUACAUGAUUGACUUGCGUCGGAUUUGGUAGUAGGGUAGGUUAUGGCUCUCCCAAGCGAAGGUACCUAGCCGAACCGGGAGGGGUGACGGGCAACCUGGGAAUGAAGCAAGGCCCAGACUCCUACGGGGGGCAGCCGGAGGGGAUCUUCGGCAAUUGGGGCAACGCUGACCGGGCAACGGCGCGGGAGGGAAGAAGGGUCUCGGAUCGGAAAGCUUUGGUGUAAGGGAAGAACGGGUGGGAUAGUGGAAAGUUCACACUGUGACGGUAGCUUACCAGAAAGGGACGGCUAACUACGUG
rnacentral:rRNA from 1 species